AAUAGAUACCCGGGUAGUCCACGCCGUAAACGAUGAGUGCUAAGUGUUGGGGGGGUUUCCGCCCCUCAGUGCUGCAGCUAACGCAUUAAGCACUCCGCCUGGGGAGUACGGUCGCAAGACUGAAACUCAAAGGAAUUGACGGGGGCCCGCACAAGCGGUGGAGCAUGUGGUUUAAUUCGAAGCAACGCGAAGAACCUUACCAGGUCUUGACAUCCCGGUGACCACUAUGGAGACAUAGUUUCCCCUUCGGGGGCAACGGUGACAGGUGGUGCAUGGUUGUCGUCAGCUCGUGUCGUGAGAUGUUGGGUUAAGUCCCGCAACGAGCGCAACCCUUAUUCUUAGUUGCCAUCAUUUAGUUGGGCACUCUAAGGAGACUGCCGGUGAUAAACCGGAGGAAGGUGGGGAUGACGUCAAAUCAUCAUGCCCCUUAUGACCUGGGCUACACACGUGCUACAAUGGACGGUACAAACGGUUGCCAACCCGCGAGGGGGAGCUAAUCCGAUAAAACCGUUCUCAGUUCGGAUUGUAGGCUGCAACUCGCCUACAUGAAGCC
rnacentral:rRNA from 1 species